rnacentral:rRNA from 1 species
AGAGUUUGAUCAUGGCUCAGGAUGAACGCUAGCUACAGGCUUAACACAUGCAAGUCGAGGGGCAGCAUGUUGGUUGCUUGCAACCAAUGAUGGCGACCGGCGCACGGGUGAGUAACGCGUAUCCAACCUACCCUUGUCCAUCGGAUAACCCGUCGAAAGGCGGCCUAACACGAUAUGCGGUUCACAGCAGGCAUCUAAGGUGAACGAAAUGUGAAGGAGAAGGAUGGGGAUGCGUCUGAUUAGCUUGUUGGCGGGGUAACGCCACCAAGGCGACGAUCAGUAGGGGUUCGUGAGAGGAAGGUCCCCCNCAUUGGAACUGAGACACGGUCCAAACUCCUACGGAGGCA